AGAGUUUGAUCCUGGCUCAGGACGAACGCUGGCGGCGUGCCUAACACAUGCAAGUCGAGCGGAGACAGUGAGUAGCUUGCUAUGAGCUGUUUUAGCGGCGGACGGGUGAGUAACGCGUGAGCAACCUUUCCCAGACAGGGGAAUAACACACCGAAAGGUGUACUAAUACCGCAUAAGACCACGGAAUCACAUGGUUCUGAGGUAAAAGAUUUAUCGGUUUGGGGUGGGCUCGCGUCCGAUUAGGUAGUUGGUGAGGUAACGGCCCACCAAGCCGACGAUCGGUAGCCGACCUGAGAGGGUGAUCGGCCACAUUGGGACUGAGACACGGCCCAAACUCCUACGGGAGGCAGCAGUGGGGAAUAUUGCACAAUGGGGGAAACCCUGAUGCAGCGACGCCGCGUGAAGGAUGAAGUAUUUCGGUAUGUAAACUUCUAUCAGCAGGGAAGAAAAUGACGGUACCUGACUAAGAAGCCCCGGCUAACUACGUGCCAGCAGCCGCGGUAAUACGUAGGGGGCAAGCGUUAUCCGGAUUUACUGGGUGUAAAGGGAGCGCAGGCGGUGCGGCAAGUCUGAUGUGAAAGCCCGGGGCUCAACCCCGGUACUGCAUUGGAAACUGUCGUACUAGAGUGUCGGAGGGGUAAGCGGAAUUCCUAGUGUAGCGGUGAAAUGCGUAGAUAUUAGGAGGAACACCAGUGGCGAAGGCGGAUUGCUGGACGAUAACUGACGGUGAGGCGCGAAAGUGUGGGGAGCAAACAGGAUUAGAUACCCUGGUAGUCCACACUGUAAACGAUGAAUGCUAGGUGUAGGGGGUAUCGACCCCUUCUGUGCCGCAGUCAACACAAUAAGCAUUCCGCCUGGGGAGUACGGCCGCAAGGUUGAAACUCAAAGGAAUUGACGGGGGCCCGCACAAGCAGUGGAGUAUGUGGUUUAAUUCGACGCAACGCGAAGAACCUUACCAGGUCUUGACAUCCAACGAAUCCUUAAGAGAUUAGGGAGUGCCUUUCGGGGAACGUUGAGACAGGUGGUGCAUGGUUGUCGUCAGCUCGUGUCGUGAGAUGUUGGGUUAAGUCCCGCAACGAGCGCAACCCUUAUCUUCAGUUACUAACGCGUAAAGGUGAGGACUCUGAAGAGACUGCCGGGGACAACUCGGAGGAAGGUGGGGACGACGUCAAAUCAUCAUGCCCCUUAUGACCUGGGCUACA
rnacentral:rRNA from 1 species